rnacentral:tRNA from 1 species
ACAUUGAUGAUUCAGUGGCAGAAUUCUCACCUUCCAUGUGGAAGACCUGGGUUCAGUUCCCACCCAAUGCG